GCCGAGGUGGUGAAACAGGUAUACACGCGGGCCUUAAGAGCCCGUGGAGCUAAACACUCCGUGUGGGUUCGACCCCCACCCUCGGCA
rnacentral:tRNA from 1 species